GGAGCAGGACGAGGGGUCGCUGGCCUUGAGGCCAGAGGAAAGUCCGGGCUCCACAGGGCAGGGAGCCGGCGUUGAGCCGGGCAGGGGCGACCCUGCGGAAGGGCCACAGAAACGAAACCGCCACCUAUAAGGUGGUAAGGGUGAAAGGGUGGUGUAAGAGACCACCGCUUCAACCCGCAAGGGUUGAAGGCACGGCAACCCCCUUCCGGAGCAAGGCUAAAUAGGCUGGCGCUUGAGGGUGGCCCGCCCGAUGCCAGCGGGUAAGCCGCACAGAUAAAUGACCCCAGAAAACAGAACCCGGCUUACGGCCUGCUCCGCAG
rnacentral:RNase_P_RNA from 1 species